AAGAAAUUAGUUAAUAAUAACACUACUUUGUCAAGGUAGAGUAAUGAGUUAAAAUCUUGUAUUUCUUU
rnacentral:tRNA from 1 species